GGCCAGGACGCAUGUGACGGGCACGGGCAUGGACACAGUCACGGGCAUGGACAUGGAGAUGGGCAUGUGCAUGGGCAUGAUCAUGGAUUUAGUGAGGGUGACGAGGAGAGUGGUGUACGACAUGUCGUGGUUUCGCAGAUAUUGGAACUUGGGAUCGUAUCCCAUUCGGUCAUUAUUGGGUUAUCACUGGGUGUUUCACAGAGCCCAUGUACUAUAAGACCCUUAAUAGCAGCAUUAUCAUUUCAUCAAUUCUUCGAAGGGUUUGCGCUUGGAGGCUGCAUCUCGCAGGCUCAGUUCAAGACCC
rnacentral:misc_RNA from 1 species